rnacentral:misc_RNA from 1 species
GGGAGAGUCAGGGUCACUAGUCCAAUAUCAGAGGCAUAGUUGAAGUCAAUCUCAACAUUGCCCACACGGCACUUCAAUGGGCGCUGCGAAGAGUAUGCCCCAAAACGUCCACAUCCCCUGACUUUCAGGGCAAUAGUAGCAGUUGGGGACCAAUUUUCACCGAGUGAAGUAGUCAGCUCUAAGGAGAUCUCACCAUCAAAGAGCUCCAGUUUCUUGUCAAAAGCCAUCUUGAUUUCAAACUGAUCCACUGCACCACCCGUGUUGAACAUGUUAAGCAACCCUAUCGGUGCAAAAGAAAUGCUGGAAGUGAUCUCCUUGAUUGGACAGAAAUGGAAGAGUU